rnacentral:rRNA from 1 species
GUGGGGAAUCUUGCGCAAUGGGCGAAAGCCUGACGCAGCCAUGCCGCGUGAAUGAUGAAGGUCUUAGGAUUGUAAAAUUCUUUCACCGGGGACGAUAAUGACGGUACCCGGAGAAGAAGCCCCGGCUAACUUCGUGCCAGCAGCCGCGGUAAUACGAAGGGGGCUAGCGUUGCUCGGAAUUACUGGGCGUAAAGGGCGCGUAGGCGGACAGUUUAGGCAGAGGUGAAAGCCCAGGGCUCAACCUUGGAAUUGCCUUUGAUACUGGCUGUCUUGAGUACGGGAGAGGUGAGUGGAACUCCGAGUGUAGAGGUGAAAUUCGUAGAUAUUCGGAAGAACACCAGUGGCGAAGGCGACUCACUGGCCCGUUACUGACGCUGAGGCGCGAAAGCGUGGGGAGCAAACAGGAUUAGAUACCCUUGUAGUCC